UAGAAGAUGACGAGUGGCGGACGGGUGAGUCAUGCUUGGGAACUUGCCUUUGCGAGGGGGAUAACAGUUGGAAACGACUGCUAAUACCGCAUAAUGUCUUCGGACCAAACGGGGCUUCGGCUCCGGCGCAAAGAGAGGCCCAAGUGAGAUUAGCUAGUUGGUAAGGUAACGGCUUACCAAGGCGACUAUCUCUAGCUGUUCUGAGAGGAAGAUCAGCCACACUGGGACUGAGACACGGCCCACACUCCUACGGGAGGCAGCAGUGGGGAAUAUUGCACAAUGGGGGAAACCCUGAUGCAGCCAUGCCGCGUGUGUGAAGAACGCCUUCGGGUUGUAAAGCACUUUCAGUUGUGAGGAAAAGUUAGUAGUUAAUACCUGCUAGCCGUGACGUUAACAACAGAAGAAGCACCGGCUAACUCCGUGCCAGCAGCCGCGGUAAUACGGAGGGUGCGAGCGUUAAUCG
rnacentral:rRNA from 1 species